rnacentral:rRNA from 1 species
CGGAACGUGCCCAGUAGCGGGGGAUAACUACGCGAAAGCGUAGCUAAUACCGCAUACGCCCUUAGGGGGAAAGCAGGGGAUCGCAAGACCUUGCACUAUUGGAGCGGCCGAUAUCGGAUUAGCUGGUUGGUGAGGUAAUGGCUCACCAAGGCCGCGAUCCGUAGCUGGUUUGAGAGGACGACCAGCCACACUGGGACUGAGACGCGGCCCAGACUCCUACGGGAGGCAGCAGUGGGGAAUUUUGGACAAUGGGGGAAACCCUGAUCCAGCCAUCCCGCGUGUGCGAUGAAGGCCUUCGGGUUGUAAAGCACUUUUGGCAGGAAAGAAACGGCGCGUGCUAAUACCAUGCGCAACUGACGGUACCUGCAGAAUAAGCACCGGCUAACUACGUGCCAGCAGCCGCGGUAAUACGUAGGGUGCAAGCGUUAAUCGGAAUUACUGGGCGUAAAGCGUGCGCAGGCGGUUCGGAAAGAAAGAUGUGAAAUCCCAGGGCUCAACCUUGGAACUGCAUUUUUAACUACCGGACUAGAGUAUGUCAGAGGGAGGUGGAAUUCCACGU